UUUUAAGAUUUGACAUGGGCAACUACUUUGAUUGGACACACGUGACCCAGAUUCAAACGGCCUACGAAGAACACCGCAAGACGGACUCCUUUCAGGGGAGCGAAACGGCUCAAUCGGCAUGUUGCAAGUCGGCAAAGUGCAGGUUUGAUAAGUCUCCGAUCCACCGAUACAAAACCGCCCAGAUUUUCCAUUCGGCGCCGGAUUGUCGCACUUCCUCUGCCGGUAGCGUCUGCCAGAUCCGCAGGUGACUGAGCAGGAGCCCCAUUCGCCCCACGCUGACCAUGCUCCAUUGACCGUUGUUGCGGCUGUUGCAAAUAUAACAAUAAGAGGGCAUGAUGGCUCACCUGAGU